GACGAACGCUGGCGGCGUGCCUAAUACAUGCAAGUCGAGCGGAUCUUCAUUAGCUUGCUUUUGAAGAUCAGCGGCGGACGGGUGAGUAACACGUGGGCAACCUGCCUGUAAGACUGGGAUAACUUCGGGAAACCGGAGCUAAUACCGGAUAAUCCUUUUCCUCGCAUGAGGACAAGCUGAAAGACGGUUUCGGCUGUCACUCACAGAUGGACCCGCGGCGCAUUAGCUAGUUGGUGAGGUAACGGCUCACCAAGGCGAGGAUGCGUAGCCGACCUGAGAGGGUGAUCGGCCACACUGGGACUGAGACACGGCCCAGACUCCUACGGGAGGCAGCAGUAGGGAAUCUUCCGCAAUGGACGAAAGUCUGACGGAGCAACGCCGCGUGAGCGAUGAAGGCCUUCGGGUCGUAAAGCUCUGUUGUCAGGGAAGAACAAGUACCGGAGUAACUGCCGGUACCUUGACGGUACCUGACCAGAAAGCCACGGCUAACUACGUGCCAGCAGCCGCCGUAACAC
rnacentral:rRNA from 1 species